AACUUAGUCGGUAGAGCAUGGGACUCUCAAUCCCAGAGUCGUGGGUUCGAGCCCCAC
rnacentral:tRNA from 1 species